rnacentral:rRNA from 1 species
CGGCCCAGACUCCUACGGGAGGCAGCAGUAGGGAAUCUUCCGCAAUGGACGAAAGUCUGACGGAGCAACGCCGCGUGAGUGAUGAAGGUUUUCGGAUCGUAAAGCUCUGUUGUUAGGGAAGAACAAGUACCGUUCGAAUAGGGCGGUACCUUGACGGUACCUAACCAGAAAGCCACGGCUAACUACGUGCCAGCAGCCGCGGUAAUACGUAGGUGGCAAGCGUUGUCCGGAAUUAUUGGGCGUAAAGGGCUCGCAGGCGGUUCCUUAAGUCUGAUGUGAAAGCCCCCGGCUCAACCGGGGAGGGUCAUUGGAAACUGGGGAACUUGAGUGCAGAAGAGGAGAGUGGAAUUCCACGUGUAGCGGUGAAAUGCGUAGAGAUGUGGAGGAACACCAGUGGCGAAGGCGACUCUCUGGUCUGUAACUGACGCUGAGGAGCGAAAGCGUGGGGAGCGAACAGGAUUAGAUACCCUGGUAGUCCACGCCGUAAACGAUGAGUGCUAAGUGUUAGGGGGUUUCCGCCCCUUAGUGCUGCAGCUAACGCAUUAAGCACUCCGCCUGGGGAGUACGGUCGCAAGACUGAAACUCAAAGGAAUUGACGGGGGCCCGCACAAGCGGUGGAGCAUGUGGUUUAAUUCGAAGCAACGCGAAGAACCUUACCAGGUCUUGACAUCCUCUGACAAUCCUAGAGAUAGGACGUCCCCUUCGGGGGCAGAGUGACAGGUGGUGCAUGGUUGUCGUCAGCUCGUGUCGUGAGAUGUUGGGUUAAGUCCCGCAACGAGCGCAACCCUUGAUCUUAGUUGCCAGCAUUCAGUUGGGCACUCUAAGGUGACUGCCGGUGACAAACCGGAGGAAGGUGGGGAUGACGUCAAAUCAUC